GGGAAAGGAAAUUUGGGAUCGGGGUUGUUAUCUAAUUCAAUUCUUCUCCUCCUCCUCCUUCUUCUCCUCCUCCUCCUCCUUCGAAACCCUAAAUUAUUGAUCACAACACCAACGCACCCAAUCUGAAAAUUGGGAUAGCUCAGUACCUUUUGGUAUCUAUCGCGAAGGAAACAGUUGCUCAAAUUUUUGUUCAAGGCGGGCAUGAGGCGUUUCUAUUUCUUUUCCAGCACCGCGUUACAGUGGGACCUGAUUGAAGCUUACAUCAACGGAAGUAAUGCUUUGCUUAAAUAUGUGUUCUUCAUGCUAACUCGUCCCUUUCGUCCUUGGAUUGACCCACGUGGUGCCAACAUGAUUCCCAUCCAUUUAAUGCUCUUCAAGCAAUCCGCAAGCCGUCUCUCCAUUCAUUCUCCAAUCAACCGUGAUGAACCAAACCUCGUGACUGAAAGACGGUUCAUGCUCCCUAUCUCAGAUGUCGUACCUGAAAGGGGUGUGUAUACGGAGAUCAUUGCCGGCUAUCUUUCCACCAUGUGUGUCCCAGGAAGUCUGCACCCAGAUAUUAUUCAAAAGAUAUAUAACGUGAUUGAAGUGGCCGACCCUGGUUUGCCUAUUGAUGUGACAAUAGAGGACGUGACUGUUAACGUAUUGGGCAAGUCGACAGUUCCUCCAACCAAAACUGUAUUUCACAAAGUGAGACCUGAUAGUUUGGAAUCUACUAUUAGACAGAAGCCAUGUGCUGGUUGUCAUGAGAGCCUUGAUCACUUUUAUGAUGCAGAAGAAGGGAUUACUCGCUUGCCCUGCUUGCACCUUUUUCAUGAAGGUUGCCUUGUCCAGUGUUUGGAUCUGAUUGAUGAGCCUGCAUGCCCCAUCUGCAGUUACCCACUUGUGGAGUUUGUUGAGCCAUCAAAACCCUUGGUGGACCUGGAUUGGCCUAUGUUGCUCAUGAUGGCGGCAAGCGGUAUAAUAACUGUUACGCUUCUUUGCAGACUAUUGAAGCGGCCCUAAGAACAAAAAUAAAUGGACUUUUGAUUAAUGUUUCUCAUUCCUGCAGAAUUGCCUUCUUUUCUAAGGGGAAGUCUUGCCCCUUGUUUUGGACAAAAGAAAUUAUUAUAAAUAUUACUGAUUACAAUGGUCAAUCUAGCCAAUGGGUCUCCACUGGUUGCCAUCUUUUUUAUAUUUUCCUGUUUAGUUGUCAGCUUGGCCGGUGAUGGCAUCUUAACCAAAGGGUCCUUACUUUUGCUGUCAAGAGAGUUGUCGGCGGCAGUUGAAAUUGUUUGAGUAUGUGCGGUAUUGGCUACUACUCAAGCUCAGCUGAAAGGUUUACUCAAUUACUAUCAAGCUUGAUGAUGGAAAUUUGAUGAAGCGGAGUUUUCAAGUUCGGUCAAUGAGUAAAUUCCUUUGAUAAGUGGAGUUUUCUGAGUUGGAUUAGGAGUCUGGUAAGAAGUGGGGACCGUAGAGGUGGUUUGAAAUUUGAUGACGAUUGAGGAAUUGGUUUCAGGAUGAGGAGAGGAAAAUGAGUGAGCAUAUUUUUCCUACAAUGAGUUGUAUGAAUUCCUUCUAUCUUUACCUGUAUUGAAGUUGUUUUGUAAUGCAAGGUUGUUUUGUUAUAAAAUUCUUUAGAAAUCUCAGAGCUUUCAGCAUUUUGUGUAUUUGUACAUGCUUAAUGCUUUGAUCAUCUUAUCACCAUUGUUAUGACGCUAAUCUAUGCUCUAAUAUAAUUCGAAUGAGAGAAUCAUAGCUGACA